rnacentral:tRNA from 1 species
CAGUUUGUAGUUUAUUUAGAACUUAGGCUUUGGGGGUUUGGAGUCUCUUUGAAAAAGAGCAUGCUGA